rnacentral:rRNA from 1 species
UACGUAGGGACCGAGCGUUGUCCGGAAUCAUUGGGCGUAAAGAGCGUGUAGGCGGCUAUUUAAGUCCUGCGUGAAAUCCUGCGGCUCAACCGCAGACGGUCGUGGGAAACUGGAUGGCUAGAGUGCGGGAGAGGAGAGUGGAAUUCCUGGGUGUAGCGGUGAAAUGGCGCAGAUAUCAGGAAGAACACCCGUGGCGAAAGCGGCUCUCUGGAACGGUACUGACGCUGAGACGCGAAAGCGUGGGGAGCGAACAGGAUAGAUACCCAGUAG